AGCGAACGCUGGCGGCAGGCCUAAUACAUGCAAGUCGAGCGCCCUUUCGGGGGAGCGGCGGACGGGUGAGUAACGCGUGGGAACGUGCCCUUUGGUACGGAACAACUGAGGGAAACUUCAGCUAAUACCGUAUGUGCCCUUCGGGGGAAGGAUUUAUCGCCUUUGGAGCAGCCCGCGUUGGAUUAGGUAGUUGGUGAGGUAAAGGCUCACCAAGCCGACGAUCCAUAGCUGGUCUGAGAGGAUGACCAGCCACACUGGGACUGAGACACGGCCCAGACUCCUACGGGAGGCAGCAGUAGGGAAUCUUGCGCAAUGGGCGAAAGCCUGACGCAGCCAUGCCGCGUGUAUGAUGAAGGUCUUAGGAUUGUAAAAUACUUUCACCGGGGAAGAUAAUGACGGUACCCGGAGAAGAAGCCCCGGCUAACUUCGUGCCAGCCGCCGCCGUAA
rnacentral:rRNA from 1 species